rnacentral:rRNA from 1 species
CCUACGGGAGGCAGCAGUAGGGAAUCUUCCGCAAUGGACGAAAGUCUGACGGAGCAACGCCGCGUGAGUGAUGAAGGUUUUCGGAUCGUAAAACUCUGUUGUUAGGGAAGAACAAGUACGAGAGUAACUGCUCGUACCUUGACGGUACCUAACCAGAAAGCCACGGCUAACUACGUGCCAGCAGCCGCGGUAAUACGUAGGUGGCAAGCGUUGUCCGGAAUUAUUGGGCGUAAAGCGCGCGCAGGCGGUCUCUUAAGUCUGAUGUGAAAGCCCACGGCUCAACCGUGGAGGGUCAUUGGAAACUGGGAGACUUGAGUGCAGAAGAGAAGAGUGGAAUUCCACGUGUAGCGGUGAAAUGCGUAGAGAUGUGGAGGAACACCAGUGGCGAAGGCGACUCUUUGGUCUGUAACUGACGCUGAGGCGCGAAAGCGUGGGGAGCAAACAGGAUUAGAUACCCUGGUAGUCCACGCCGUAAACGAUGAGUGCUAAGUGUUAGAGGGUUUCCGCCCUUUAGUGCUGCAGCAAACGCAUUAAGCACUCCGCCUGGGGAGUACGGCCGCCAAGGCUGAAACUCAAAGGAAUUGACGG